rnacentral:lncRNA from 1 species
GAGUAGAAGACACUGCUCUGUCCUCCCUUAGGCUCAUACACUGGUGACCGUACGUACCUGCUGCAAACGCAUAAGAACUACACCCUCGUGCAUCACGCGUGUGACCAAAAGCAACAUUUUACGUGCAAUUGUGAGAACUAGUUAAUUUUUUAAAACUGAUCUGCGAUUGACAACAAAAUGGCUCAACUUCUGCCAGUAGAAAUGUGGUGCAAAAUCUUUCGCACAUUAGAUGGACCAUCAGUAUUAGCUGCAUCAAGAGCUUGCCCUAUGUUUCUCGAUAUAAUCCAAGAGGAUCCAAUCUUGAAACACGUGCAACGAAAAGCUCUCGAUCAGGAAAAUCUAGAACUAAGCAUGAAAAUAAUAACCUCGCAACUUCAAAGCCUGUCUAAGGUAUGGAAGUCUCUUUAUCGCACUUAAUCCUAAGAGGAGGCGUGCCCACAUGUACCUUCUUAGGUCACUUGACCACCAUUCAUGAUGAUCUUGCAUUGUGGUAAUAUUUAUUAAUCGUUUUAUUUAUUAGAUUCAUAAAUUAUAUGUUAGUUUUCAAUAUCAAUAUAUAUCUUAUUAUAACGCAAUGAAAUCUGGUGUUGCAGAAAGGAUGUCAGUUUCAACCCAAUAAAACAUAUUUUAAUUUA